rnacentral:rRNA from 1 species
GACGAACGCUGGCGGCGUGCUUAACACAUGCAAGUCGAACGGAAAGGCCCUGCUUUUGUGGGGUGCUCGAGUGGCGAACGGGUGAGUAACACGUGAGUAACCUGCCCUUGACUUUGGGAUAACUUCAGGAAACUGGGGCUAAUACCGGAUAGGAGCUCCUGCUGCAUGGUGGGGGUUGGAUGGUUUCGGCGGUUGGGGAUGGACUCGCGGCUUAUCAGCUUGUUGGUGGGGUAGUGGCUUACCAAGGCUUUGACGGGUAGCCGGCCUGAGAGGGUGACCGGCCACAUUGGGACUGGGAUACGGCCCAGACUCCUACGGGAGGCAGCAGUGGGGAAUAGUGCACAAUGGGCGGAAGCCUGAUGCAGCAACGCCGCGUGCGGGAUGACGGCCUUCGGGUUGUAAACCGCUUUCGCCUGUGACGAAGCGUGAGUGACGGUAAUGGGUAAAGAAGCACCGGCUAACUACGUG